CCAGACUCCUACGGGAGGCAGCAGUAGGGAAUAUUGCUCAAUGGGGGAAACCCUGAUGCAGCAACGCCGCGUGAGUGAAGAAGUAUUUCGGUAUGUAAAGCUCUAUCAGCAGGGAAGAAGAUGACGGUACCUGAGUAAGAGGCCCCGGCUAACUACGUGCCAGCAGCCGCGGUAAUACGUAGGGGGCAAGCGUUAUCCGGAUUUACUGGGUGUAAAGGGCGUGCAGCCGGGAGUGCAAGUCAGAUGUGAAAUCCCGCGGCUCAACCGCGGAACUGCAUUUGAAACUGUGCUUCUUGAGUGCUGGAGAGGCAGACGGAAUUCCUAGUGUAGCGGUGAAAUGCGUAGAUAUUAGGAGGAACACCAGUGGCGAAGGCGGUCUGCUGGACAGUAACUGACGGUGAGGCGCGAAAGCGUGGGGAGCAAACAGGAUUAGAUACCCCCGUACG
rnacentral:rRNA from 1 species